AGCAGUAUGGUGUAUUGCUGCACACGGGGUAUUUGUGGUCCAUUUCAUCCCAUGCAUUGAACCCCGAGGUCCUGGUUCGAAUCCAGGUGCCGCUC